UCCUACGGGAGGCAGCAGUGGGGAAUAUUGCACAAUGGGCGCAAGCCUGAUGCAGCCAUGCCGCGUGUGUGAAGAAGGCCUUCGGGUUGUAAAGCACUUUCAGCGAGGAGGAAAGCUUAAGCGUUAAUAGCGUUUAGGUGUGACGUUACUCGCAGAAGAAGGACCGGCUAACUUCGUGCCAGCAGCCGCGGUAAUACGAGGGGUCCAAGCGUUAAUCGGAAUUACUGGGCGUAAAGCGUACGCAGGCGGUUUGUUAAGCGAGAUGUGAAAGCCCCGGGCUCAACCUGGGAACUGCAUUUCGAACUGGCAGACUAGAGUCUUGUAGAGGGGGGUAGAAUUUCAGGUGUAGCGGUGAAAUGCGUAGAGAUCCGAAGGAAUACCGGUGGCGAAGGCGGCCCCCUGGACAAAGACUGACGCUCAUGUACGAAAGCGUGGGGAGCAAACAGGAUUAGAUACCCUGGUAGUCCACGCCGUAAACGAUGUCUACUCGGAAUUUGGUGUCUUGAACACUGGGUUCUCAAGCUAACGCAUUAAGUAGACCGCCUGGGGAGUACGGCCGCAAGGUUAAAACUCAAAGGAAUUGACGG
rnacentral:rRNA from 1 species